rnacentral:rRNA from 1 species
CAAUAGCGUAUAUUAAAGUUGUUGCAGUUAAAAAGCUCGUAGUUGGAUUUCGGGGUGGCCUGGCUGGUCCGCCGCAAGGUGAGUACUGGUCAGCCGCCCUUCCUCUCGAAAGCCCCGACUGCUCUUUACUGCAGUGGUCGGGUAGUUCGGGACGUUUACUUUGAAAAAAUUAGAGUGUUCAAGGCAGGCUGUCGCCUGAAUACAUUAGCAUGGAAUAAUGGAAGAGGACCUCGGUCCUAUUUUGUUGGUUUCUAGGGCCGAAGUAAUGAUUAAGAGGGACAGUUGGGGGCAUUCGUAUUUAAUUGUCAGAGGUGAAAUUCUUGGAUUUAUGAAAGACGAACUAGUGCGAAAGCAUUUGCCAAGGAUGUUUUCAUUAA